rnacentral:rRNA from 1 species
AGAGUUUGAUCAUGGCUCAGGACGAACGCUGGCGGCGUGCUUAACACAUGCAAGUGGAGCGACGAACCGGGGCUUGCCCCGGGGCAGAGCCGCGAACGGGUGAGUAACACGUGGGUAACCUACCCCGAUGACCGGGACAACCCGAGGAAACUCGGGCUAAUACCGGAUGUUCUCGUUUUUCGUAAGGGAAUCGAGCAAAGAUAGCUUCGGCCUUCGCAUCGGGACGGGCCCGCGGCCCAUUAGCUUGUUGGUGGGGUAACGGCCUACCAAGGCUGCGAUGGGUAGCUGGUCUGAGAGGACGAUCAGCCACACUGGGACUGAGACACGGCCCAGACUCCUACGGGAGGCAGCAGUGGGGAAUCUUGCGCAAUGCGCGAAAGCGUGACGCAGCAACGCCGCGUGGGGGAAGAAGGCCUUCGGGUUGUAAACCCCUUUCAGUUGGGACGAAGCUUCGUCGGUUAAUAGCCGGCUGGAGUGACGGUACCUUCAGAAGAAGCCCCGGCUAACUACGUGCCAGCAGCCGCGGUAAUACGUAGGGGGCUAGCGUUGUCCGGAAUCAUUGGGCGUAAAGCGCGUGUAGGCGGCCCGGUAAGUCCGCUGUGAAAGUCGGGGGCUCAACCCUCGGAUGCCGGUGGAUACUGUCGGGCUCGAGUACGGAAGAGGCGAGUGGAAUUCCUGGUGUAGCGGUGAAAUGCGCAGAUAUCAGGAGGAACACCAAUUGCGAAGGCAGCUCGCUGGGACGUUACUGACGCUGAGACGCGAAAGCGUGGGGAGCAAACAGGAUUAGAUACCCUAGUAGUCC